AUUUAUACCGGGUGGAGGGCGCCUGAUUAGCCUAUAAUGGCAAAGCCCCUUUGAGCCCGGGCGGUGCCAAUUAACCCCCAUCACCCCCAUUUGCUCCCGAGCAGGAGCGAGGCCGCGGGUCGGAUCCUGCGUCCUGGUGGAGGUCCCCGGGCGGAGGGCGCUACCUGCGCGGUGCGGGGCAGCCCGGCCGCCGCCGGGCCCCCUUUGUAACCUGCUAUAGAAAAGGGAGGUCUUUUGCAUGACAAAGCACAAUUAAGCUUGCUAUUCAGGGGCCCUGCAGCUGGAGCACAUGGAUUCAUUGGCAACUUUACUGUUCAAGCUGCUGAACUGUACACUAGGGGGAAGAGGAAUGGCCAUCAAAUCAAAGAACUGACGGGGAUUUGAAAACUUCACUCUUAUUGUAGCCAGAACAGCAAAUGGCACACCACAAAUCCAUCCCAGUGGCUAUGGUUGUACAUGAGAAUGGGAAUGGCACAAAGGUGACUCAUUACAGUCUUAACAAGAAACACUUAAGGUUACAGUCACUGCCUGUUGAAGACUUGUCCUGCACAUCAGCUUUAACCAGACGAGGAGGUGUCAGAAGGAAGAGGAGCUGGAAAGGAGCUACUUGCAUUUCUUUGGCCUCAUCCCUGUAUUUCACCAUUCUCUGUUUUCAAAACUGCUUAGAGAAGUCUUGGACCCAUAUAUUGACCAAACCCAUCAUGAUCUCCUUCUCUCUCGGGUGUGUACCCCUCUCUCAGUCCAGAGCUACACCCAGCAUUUGGUCUGCCUGUGUCGCCAGCACAGCUCGAAGCCUUUGCACUUUCUCUUGACCCAGUUUUAACCUGUCCCCACUCCAGUAAGCGGGAAAGUGCUUCAGUCUGAAGUAAGACAGACGGAGGAAGAGUCUCAGGAUGUGGCUGUCUGUUGCAACAGCUGGAAGGUGAGCCAGCAGGACUGCAUCACUGCACAGAGAAGUAAACAGGCGCAGUCGGAGCACGGGGCUCAGAUAGCCCUGGCAUUUGUAGGGAGAGUCACACCUCCAGGGGGACUUUGGUCAUUCUCUUGGUUGUUUUUUCUUCUUCUUCUAUAUGUUCUGGGGAAAAGAAAAAAAUAAAAAGAGAGAAAGAGAAAAAGAAAAUCA
rnacentral:lncRNA from 1 species